rnacentral:sRNA from 1 species
ACUACUUGGGGUCGAUAUAUAUGAUUCUCCUGCAUGACAAGAGACACAACGGUUAAAGUCUUGAAGAGAGCAUGGCUUAUUGGCACUGCUUGCUAGAAUGCUAGUGUUGCUAGCCUAGGUGGCUGGCUGCUUCCCCUACAGAUUUCAGUAUUGCAACUCUGGAAUUGUAAAGAUAGGAUUAUCUACAGCCAACGAUUUAAACAUGCAUCAAUUAGUUGUUAGUGUAUGGUGCUAUCUGGCAUGAAUAUAAGUCUCCUUUAAUCUGAGAGAUAUGCUUUUGUACAGACAAGGAGGUUGAACAGCGCGCUUGACACUUUUAGCACUUUCGUCUUGCUUGCGUUUGUUGGUAUUCCAGUAAAUGAUAUUACUAGAAUAAGUGGUUGGCCGGUGUGCUACGGAUUUCACAAGAAUGAUAAUUCUUACGUUAAGCACUGCAUACGAGCUGAGCAUCUUGUUAUGCUGAG